GGGCUCGAGCACGCCGGCGCGAGCAUGGAGGAUGCCGGAGCGAGCCUGCCUCUUAACGUUCCGUGAACAUGGCGGCGUCCAGUGUCCGUUACAGAGAAAGAGGACGACACACGAGGCUGCCCGCUGAAGGAUGUAGCAGAGAACAGCAGUGUCCCCAUCUUAUGCUGUCUGUGGCUGACACCAAGUGCUAAAACGCCUGCUGGAUGAAACUGUCUCCUUGUAGUAUUCUCAAAAACUGUUAAAGCAUGCACUUCCUUUGGGUAAAAUCUAAGUGGCCGAUCCGCUCCCGCUGCUCCCGUUCACCUUGGUUCCAUUUCUUCACGAGCAUUCUGGAGCUAUGGGUGGCUACUGUAGUUGCUGAUGGAAGCCAAGGUCUUGUCCUGUAUCUGAGCUCCAGUGUGUAUUCAAUCUUCCUGCCAGAGAUGCACCAAGGUCAACUUUCUUCAGGGGGCUCUCCAGAUAUGACAAUCACUGCACCCAAUCCAUGACACCAACCAGACGAGAGCUAGCAGAUUGACUUCACCCAUAUAACCAUUCAUAAAAAGCUCUACUAUCUCCUAACCCUCCCGAUACCUUGACAGGGUGGAUCAAGGCAUUCCCAACUUCCAGGGAAAUGAUGGAUGUGGGUGCUCAGGCACUCCAUAAACACAUCAAUCCUCAGUUUAAGCAUCCAAAGAGACAACGGUCCAGCCUUUACUCCCAAAGUGGUGGAGCUCAUCUCUAAAGUUUUGAACAUUUCCUGGAAACUGCAUAUUCUGUAUCCUCCACAGUCACUGAGAGCCAAAGGCCUCAUCAAACAACUCUCCCAGCUCUCCCUGGAGCUCAGGUUGCCUUGGCCCUCCUGCCAACCUCCAAGCCAUUCCAUGCUCUCCAUUGGCCUAGCCCCUUUGAGCCCCUGCAUGGAUGGCUGUUCCUCCUCAACCACCAUCUGGUGGCCCAGGCUCCCUCAGUGGCUGGCUACUUUCCCUUCUCUGGUCCCUCAUCCAUUCACAUGCUACACUCUCUCUUGGUCACCACAUCAAGGACUCAGCCACCACCAAACAUACCCUUCCUUCUCCAUGGGAUUGGAUGUCUCUUAAACAGCUCUCUUCCAAGCUUUUGGAGCCUCAGUGGACAGGACCCCAUACGUAAUCCUCACUAUCUCCUCAGCAGCUAUGUUCUUAGGAUAUCAGUGUUGGAACUACCUACCCAGGCUUAAAAGGGCAUCUAAAAAGGAUAGUUGGUCUGUUCAUGGGCUGGUCUCCACCACCCUCUGGUUCAAACAGCAAACUCUAUUGGCACUAUAGGGACUCCUUCCUACCCAUGUGAACCCUCAGCUUCUGGAAGGUCUGUACCCAGGUAAUUCCAGCAGUCUUUGAACAGCUGAUGAAAACAAAAAUGUCUACCAACAGGAGAGUCCCUCCUGUCCCAGGUGAUGGUGUUCCACCAGUCUCAGGUGGACCAACGGGACCUAUGCUCCACUCUAGAGAAACGUCCCUUGAUGUGGGAUGCCCCUUAUAUGGUGUGAAUAUGUAUUAUUACCAUGACCAUUUGUUAACAGAGCUGUUUUGGCCAAUAGCCAGGCAGAAUAGAGCCAGGUGGGAAAUCCAAGGAGAAUUACAGGGAAAAAGGAGGUGGAGUCAGGGAGAUGCCAUCAAACACCCCAAGGAACAACAUGCCAUAGCAUUACUGCUAAGCCACGGGUACGUGGCAAUACACCGAUUAAUAGAAAUGGGUGAAUGUAAAUGAAUGUAAAUGUAAGAGCUAGCAGGUAAUAAGUAUGCUAUGGCCAAUCAGUUUGUAAUUAA